GAUGAACGCUGGCGGCGUGCCUAAUACAUGCAAGUCGAGCGAACGGACGAGAAGCUUGCUUCUCUGAUGUUAGCGGCGGACGGGUGAGUAACACGUGGAUAACCUACCUAUAAGACUGGGAUAACUUCGGGAAACCGUAGCUAAUACCGGAUAAUAUUUUGAACCGCAUGGUUCAAAAGUGAAAGACGGUCUUGCUGUCACUUAUAGAUGGAUCCGCGCUGCAUUAGCUAGUUGGUAAGGUAACGGCUUACCAAGGCAACGAUGCAUAGCCGACCUGAGAGGGUGAACGGCCAAACCGGAACUGAGACAAGGUCCAGAAUUCUAAGGGAGGCAGCAGUAGGGAAUCUUCCGCAAUGGGCGAAAGCCUGACGGAGCAAAGCCGCGUGAGUGAAGAAGGGCUUCGGAUCGUAAAACUCUGUUAAUAGGGAAGAACAUAUGUGUAAGUAAAUGUGCACAUCUUGAAGGUAACUAAUCAGAAAGCCACGGCUAACUACGUG
rnacentral:rRNA from 1 species